CCGAGUUUACAAGACUCCCAAACCCCGUGUGAACGUACCUACCCCCGUUGCUUCGGCGGUGCCGCCCCGGGCGCGGGCCUCCCCCUCGGAGGCCGCCAGCCCCGGACCCAGGCGCCCGCCGGAGGACCCCCAAAACACCCUGUAUCUCGCAGAGGCUUCUUCUGAGUUGGCGCCCCCACCAGGGCGCCGGAAAGCAAAAAUGAAUCA
rnacentral:misc_RNA from 1 species